GUCAGCGGCUCGACGCCAUUAACUCUCCGCUCCUUCUUCCUCGUCACUCAUGCUCCGGUCUACCCGGAAGUGUAAAAACUCUUACAGGUCAUGAACUCUCACACGCAAUAGAGUGGCGAAGUCCCGCCCCUUCCGGUGGACCCCAUGGGACCUCUGGGAUCGUAAAAUAUACAUGGGAUUGAAUGGACAGAAAGUAAUUAUUUUCCGGUCCCAGUCGUUAUAUGCCUUGGAUUACACACAUGUUGUUUGUGGGUUUAAAUUAUAUUUUUUCACGUCAAGAGUUUGACAGUCUAUUGUGCAAUUGUUCAGUUAAAGGCUGUAGAGAAAAAAUGAUGAGAAAGACUACAUGUUGCGUAUGUGACGUCAUGUCAUCAACUUUUCCCUCCGCUGUCAAGUGGCUAAGUCAAGGUUCCUGUAUUUCAAGAUGCUGGUGUGUUUUGUACCAGUCCUCAUUCGAGCAGGCACGGCUGUUGUUUCUUUCGGAUCCCUUCAGAUGUGAAGAAUCGCUGGCUCAAAUUGAUCCGGAACAGCUAAAGCCCCCAACCAGGACUGAUGGGCACAGGAAUUUUCAGGUCAAGUGUUUUAUUAAUUUUACUGCAUCACAGUUAGCAGUGUCAGCAUACACAGCAGUAUCUACAACUGACCAGUGACCAAAUUAAGCACUUAACAACCACGAACAUGUCCACAAGUCUCCCAGUCCCUCAAAUUGUGCACAAUGCACCACCCCAUGUCAAUCAUAUUACACGCAAUAUGUGGGAUAGUGCCUUGUGCAUAUGUUGUGACUUUUCAUCAUGGCAUUAUUAAUGCAAUUAAUUAUUUAAGCAUCAAUCAGACCUCACAUGAACGUUUACACACCAAAAAUGUAACAGCGUAGCUUUUUAAGUGAGUUUAAGUGAGCAUUAAUUCCAUUUUUAUCACAAGUUUGUUUUCUAUAUUCUCUCCUCAGCACCAUCAUAUCCUGUUCCUGUGUGUCCUGCUUGCAAGUCAGCGCCUUGGAUUUGUAUACCAUUUCAAAUAAAUUUAGUUGACUGUAGUUAUGACCUUGAGCUGUGUUUCUUUGAGUCAAAAACAAUGUUUGUGUUUAAAAACAAUCAGACACAGUCUUUAACAGAAUACACGCUUAC
rnacentral:lncRNA from 1 species